AUUAAUGCAGCAAUUGUAGUACAUGUAGUACAUAUGUACUAAUUGUAGCAGUGCAUUGUAGGUGACAGUGUAUCAGUGAUUUUUUUCUUUAAGUCUGUCUCAUUUAUUGUUCAUCAAUAUGUACAAUAUUAAGCAUAAUACAAUCUUCAGCUUGACCUCAUCUUGGACAAUAGUUAAAUUUUUAUCAAGAAAAGAGAGAUCAUAGACAAAAAUGUAUCUUUAAGUAAAUUUGAUGACUAGCUGCAAUGAAAUAUAAUUUUUCUUAUCUAAAAGAUACUGACCUUUUCUUGUGUUGUGCAAAAGACGUUCAAUGAAUUGAUGGUAGUUUACCGAGAUACUGUUUUUAGUCUGGCCAUCCUCUGUUGUUUAUAGUACAGUUUUUUUCAUUAUUCCCUUCAUUGAACGCUUUGUUGGAUGAGUGGUUUGAUUCAUGGCUUUUAAUAUUAAUAUGCUCAUAGAUUGAUCCAAAAUGUGCAAUUGUUUGCCCAAAGAAAAAAACUUUAUCUACAUGUAGAAGUGCAAUGAGCUUUGUGUACAGCUUCCAUACUAGAAUUGAUGAUUGCUACUCUUUUCUGGGAUAUACACACUGGACAAUCCUGUAGUUCUUAUAGAUGGCUGUUGACUUAACAAUCACCCUAUUACUCACUCAAUGAAAGCUUUGUUGUCUUAUUUUGUUUGUCUUGGAGAAUGAACUUACUCAGAAUGGGACUGUUGCUUGUCAUAAACAUUGUCAACCUGAAACUGUUUAUGGAACAUAUUGUUUCCAUGUUAAAUCUUCCAGUUUUUAUUUUUUAUAUUUGUUAGAAUUUUUCUCUGCAAUCAAUUUGUAUGUUUUGUUAUACACUUUGUUAUUAUUAUUUUCAUACUCUUAUUCUAUGACGUGGAAUACGCAUAAUGCUAUGAUUGAAUCUCAGAUUUUUAUUUUAUAUACUUCUGAACCAAUUAAACGCACUGUAGCCAAUUUC
rnacentral:sRNA from 1 species